CGUGUUACAUCGCGCCAUCAUUGGUAUAUGGUUAGUGUGUUGGUUAGUAGGCCUAGUAUGAGGAGGGUUGUGGAGUGGAAGUGAAAUCACAUGGCUAGGCCGGAGGUCAUUAGGAGGGCUGAGAGGGCCCCUGUUAGGGGCCAUGGGCUGGGUUUUACUAUAUGAUAGGCAUGUGAUUGGUGGGUCAUUAUGUGUUGUCGUGCAGGUAGAGGCUUACUAGAAGUGUAAAAACGUAGGCUUGGAUUAAGGCGACAGCGAUUUCUAGGAUAGUCAGUAGAAUUAGAAUUGUGAAGAUGAUAAGUGUAGAGGGAAGGUUAAUAGUUGAUAUUGCUAGUGUGGCGCUUCCAAUUAGGUGCAUGAGUAGGUGGCCUGCAGUAAUGUUAGCGGUUAGGCGUACGGCCAGGGCUAUUGGUUGAAUGAGUAGGCUGAUGGUUUCGAUAAUAACUAGUAUAGGGAUAAGGGGUGUAGGUGUGCCUUGUGGUAAGAAGUGGGCUAGGGCAUUUUUAAUCUUAGAGCGAAAGCCUAUAAUCACUGCGCCCGCUCAUAAGGGGAUGGCCAUGGCUAGGUUUAUAGAUAGUUGGGUGGUUGGUGUAAAUGAGUGAGGCAGGAGGGAUG
rnacentral:lncRNA from 1 species